GGUGGUUCUCUAGUGAUGCACCCUGGAAUAGGGCUCCCUCCUGUCUGGUUCCACGUGCAUCACCCGCGAAGUGCA
rfam:Myotis lucifugus cont2.14270, whole genome shotgun sequence.